GUUCAGGUGGCAGAGUCCGGUCAUUGCAAAAGGCCUAAGCCCUUUCCACAGAGGUUCAAGUCCUCUCCUAAACU
rnacentral:tRNA from 1 species